ACUCAGAUCAGUAGGUGCAGUCUGGUAGCAGAGGGGUCUGAACCUGAGAAAGUGAUCCCUGUGGUGGAGAUCUGUGGUGCCCUGUGGAACCAGGUGAGGUGCUGAUGUCCUUGGAGGCCACUUCCCAGGGGCGGGGCUGCACCUGUGAGCAAUUGUAGCGGACCAUUGCUCCUAGGGGCGGGGCGGGUGCAGCUCUGCAGCUCAGAUUUUUGCUCCACUUACAAUGUCCUUAUUCAAGCUUUCCUUGGGCAGACCCGAGGCUCCAGGGGGACCCCCUCCCCUGACGGAAGUUGGGAUAUUUUACUCCGGUAGUCCUGUCCCCACCUGGUGGCUCCAGCCCAUCCUUCCCGCCCCGUCUGGUGCUCAGUCAGGCAGACAGAACCACCUUUACAUUCAAAGGGCUUUUAGAUCCUGGUAGCGCUGCUGCUGUGCUUUGGGAAGGACCAAAUUCAUCAGACUUAAUAUCCUAAGUACCGUGAGUCAGAAAUUAGUGACCUUUUUCAGUUCAUUUUUUUCCUUCAACCUUUUUUCCUGGAAACGUUCAAGGCUACAUAAAAGUUGAAAGGAUAGUGCAACGAACACCGUGAUAUCUCCCACCUCUUCCGCAGAUUCCGAGCAGAGGGAAGCCCAGGUGCCCGCACCAGACACAUCUACAAUGUACAGCUGGCUCUGGGAGAUAUUGAAGCUGACCACACCAGAGCUGUACGCUAAAAUUGCUUUUUGAAAUCAGUGAGGCGAUUGCCUAUGCCCAUUCGGGAAAGAAAAAUAAAGUGGCUGCAGGGCUGCUGGCUGUCAGGGAUCCCACCUGAAGAGUCUAUUGGGCACCAGUAAUUAGCAUUUACCGAUGGGACAGCAAGCAUCUGCAUUUGCUCACACAAUCAAGACUCACUGUGAACUCAGUGCCUCAGAGCAGGUACCCCUCCUGGAAGUACAGGAACCAUUGCAGUCCUUUCACCAUCGGACAAGAAUGACCUAAAGAUGAAGUCAACAAAGGGGGCAAGCACAUACAAGGAAGUGGCGGAAAAAUGGAGCAGGAGCUCCUGGGUUAAAAUGACUCUGAAGCUUGCCCCACUCUGAACUUCCAGUUACACGAACGCAUGAGUAUCCUCACUGUUCAAUGCAUUUAGAGAAGAUGUCUGUGUCUUAGAACCAAAAACAUUCUAGCUCUUCACAGAGUGGUGGAGGUAUCAUUUACCUAAGCAUAUUAAGGUUCAUGUCUAGGGGCUGUGUCUUCCUUCUUUUUCUUCUUCUUCUUCUUUUUUUUUUUUUUAAGAUUUUAUUUUUAAGUAAUCUCUACAUCCAAUGUGGAUCUUGAACUUACAACCCUGAGGUCAAGAGUUGCACACUCUACUAACUGAACCAUACUGCUAAUAUUAACCUACAAUGUAGAUUCAAAACACAUGCAGUGAACAACACUAGAAGGUAAUACUGUUCAGGUAUACACAGUACUGUAUAAAAAGAGGGUGAAGGACAGAUUUGGGUUCUAACCAUUACUUAUCAUGUUAUUUCUAUGGGAAUAUCUGCUCCAACUUCCAAAUAAGCAACUUACAAAUGAACUUUUGGGGACCCUCUGGAUCUCAGGUUUCUCACCAGGAUGUCACAUCAGAGGAAGUUUAAGGUAUCUUCUAGCUUUAUCAUUCUAUGAUUCUUUGUUACCAGUUCAUUUUAGGUGAGUAAAAGUGAAACCCUGUAAUAGGGCAGCAUUCUUGAAUAGUAUGGCACUUGAGGAUUGUGCAUUUCCUGGUCAGCAAGUUGUAUCUUGUUUGUUUUCACAGCAGUUGAAGAUUUGCCAUCAUUAUUUUAACCAUUUUUGAAAUUCUAGGAUAUUAUUCACAUCUUGCCUUUAAAUAUUUAUGCACAGAAUACCUUAUUUCCCACAGCAAACUCAUUUUUUGAUUUGUCAGCUUUAUGGAAACCUGAGAUAUCCAAACAGGCUCGCAUUUCUAAGCAAAAGCUUAGUGUGUGCCAGUCAUAAAUCUGUUCUUUUAUGUUAUAACUGAUGGCAAAAGGCAUUGCUCGAGACUGAAAUCUGUUCUUUAUUUUUUUUUUAAUUUUUCAAUGUUUAUUUAUUUUUGAAAGAGAGAGAGAGAGACAGAGCACAAGCAGGGGAGGGGCAGAGAGAGAGAGGGAGACACAGAAUCUGAAGCAGGCUCCAGGCUCUAAGCUGUCAGCAUAGAGCCCGACGUGGGGCUUAAAUUCAUGAACCAUGAGAUCAUGACCUGAGCUGAAGUUGGACGAUUAACUGACUGAGCUACCCAGAUGUCCCUGAAAUCUGUUCUUUAAUAUUGGCACAAUGGAAACAAAAGAGGAGCGUGUGGCCAGACUUGAAAAAGGAAGUUGCAUUUCUGCUUCACAUUCAUGGUAAUGGAGAUGCCACAUUAAUGUUUAACAAAUUCUUCCUGAUUUGAACAAUUAGCCAUUAAUUCUUU